ACUGCUCAGUAACACGUAGUCAACAUGCCCAGGGGACGUGGAUAACCUCGGGAAACUGAGAAUAAACCACGAUAGGUCACGAUUUCUGGAAUGGAUCAUGGCCUAAAUCUACAUGGCCCCUGGAUUGGACUGCGGCCGAUCAGGCUGUUGGUGAGGUAAUGGCCCACCAAACCUAUAACCGGUACGGGCUCUGAGAGGAGAAGCCCGGAGAUGGGCACUGAGACAAGGGCCCAGGCCCUAUGGGGCGCAGCAGGCGCGAAACCUCUGCAAUAGGCGAAAGCCUGACAGGGUUACUCUGAGUGAUUUCCGCUAAGGGGAUCUUUUGGCACCUCUAAAAAUGGUGCAGAAUAAGGGGUGGGCAAGUCUGGUGUCAGCCGCCGCGGUAAUACCAGCACCCCGAGUGGUCGGGACGAUUAUUGGGCCUAAAGCAUCCGUAGCCGGUUCUGCAAGUCUUCCGUUAAAUCCAGCCGCUCAACGGAUGGGCCGCGGAGGAUACUACAGGACUAGGAGGCGGGAGAGGCAAGCGGUACUCAGUGGGUAGGGGUAAAAUCCUUUGAUCCAUUGAAGACCACCAGUGGCGAAGGCGGCUUGCCAGAACGCGCUCGACGGUGAGGGAUGAAAGCUGGGGGAGCAAACCGGAUUAGAUACCCGGGUAGUCCCAGCUGUAAACGAUGCAGACUCGGUGAUGGGCUAGCCUUGUGCCAGCCCAGUGCCGCAGGGAAGCCGUUAAGUCUGCCGCCUGGGGAGUACGGUCGCAAGACUGAAACUUAAAGGAAUUGGCGGGGGAGCA
rnacentral:rRNA from 1 species